rnacentral:rRNA from 1 species
CCUACGGGAGGCAGCAGUGGGGGAUAUUGCACAAUGGGGGGAACCCUGAUGCAGCGACGCCGCGUGGGUGAAGAAGCGCCUCGGCGCGUAAAGCCCUGUCAGCAGGGAAGAAAAUGACGGUACCUGAAGAAGAAGCCCCGGAGAACUACGUGCCAGCAGCCGCGGUAACACGUAGGGGGCAAGCGUUAUCCGGAUUUACUGGGUGUAAAGGGGGCGCAGACGGCGAUGCAAGCCAGGAGGGAACGCCGGGGGCCCAACCCCGGGACUGCUCUUGGAACUGCGUGGCUGGAGUGCAGGAGGGGCAGGCGGAAUUCGUGGUGUAGCGGUGAAAUGCGUAGAUAUCAGGAGGAACACCGGUGGCGAAGGCGGCCUGCUGGACUGCAACUGACGUUGAGGCCCGAAAGCGUGGGGAGCAAACAGGAUUAGAUACCCCUGUAGUC